GUAGUCCACGCCCUAAACGAUGUCUACUUGCUGUUGGUUCCGAAUGGAAUAAGUAGCGAAGCAAACGCGAGAAGUAGACCGCCUGGGGAGUACGGUCGCAAGAUUAAAACUCAAAGGAAUUGACGGGGACCCGCACAAGCGGUGGAUGAUGUGGAUUAAUUCGAUGCAACGCGAAGAACCUUACCUGCUCUUGACAUGCCAGGAAUCCGGAAGAGAUUUUGGAGUGCCGCAAGGAACCUGGACACAGGUGCUGCAUGGCUGUCGUCAGCUCGUGUCGUGAGAUGUUGUCUUAAGUGACGCAACGAGCGCAACCCUUGCCACUAGUUGCCCCAAUUAAGUUUGGCACUUUAGUGGGACUGCUGGAAUAGAAUCCAGA
rnacentral:rRNA from 1 species